UCAGACUGGUAGAUAAGCAUUGGCUUCAACUUAAAGUCACCAGCUGCAUUAGCCCCUAACAAGACAGUCAGCCUGUUUUUUGAAGAUUAGAAGCCAGGCAUUGAUUUCUCUCUAUCUAUUAAAGUCCUAGGUAACAUCUUUCCCAAUGUAAGACAGUUCUGCCUACCCUGAUAAUCUAUUGUUGGCCAGCCGUGGUGGCUCAUGCCUUUAAUCCCAUCACUUUGGGAGGCCAAGGCCAACAGAUGGCUUGAGUUCAGUUGUUUAAGACCAGCCUGGGGGCGGGGGAGCUGCAUGACCAGCGGCGGGUCACGUGAUGCGGCGCGCGCCGGGCCUCCCAAGAUGGCGGUGUGCAUCGCGGCGAUCGCCAAGGAGAAUUACCUCCUCUACAUUCGCAGCACCGCCACAGAGAACGAGCUGAAGUUCCACUACAUGGUGCACAUAUCUCUGGACGUGGUGGAUGAGAAGAUCUCCGCAAUGGGGAAGGCCCUGCUCGACCAGAGGGAGCUGUACCUGGGCCUGGGUGAAGUUUGUCAUGGUAGUGGAUUCCUCCAACACAGCCCUUCCAGACAACGAAAUUCGCAGCAUGUUCCGGAAGCUACACAACUCCUACACGGACGUGAUGUGCAACCCCUUCUACAACCCGGGGGACCGCAUCCAGUCCAGGGCCUUUGAUAACAUGGUGACAUCCAUGAUGAUACAGGUGUGCUGAAUGAGCUGUGCUGCCGGCCAUCGCAGAGGAUCCCACGCGCGACCGUGGUGGCCGUCGGUCUAUUCUCGUCGCCUCUUCCUGAGUGGGACGCCCUGGGCUUUCAGGGCAGGUAGCUGUGCAUGUUCUCUCAACUAAAGGUCUUGUGAGAUGAGA